rnacentral:SRP_RNA from 1 species
CCGUGCUAGCCGGGGAGAUAGCGGUUCCCUACACCUGCAAUCCGCUAUAGCAGGGGUGAAAGUUUGUUUCGGAUCUGUGGUAUGCAAAGCCGCCCUCUGCAAGUGGCGAUGACGCUUUGGUCUUACGCAAUGAGAACUCAUGAACCGUGUCAGGAGGGGAACCUAGCAGCACUAAGUGAGACCUCUCGUGUGCCGUGAGGUCGCCGGGGCCGAGUUAACUGCAGAGGUAACGUUUGUCGACUAUGGAUACAACGCAGACGUGCACGG